rnacentral:rRNA from 1 species
UUUACCCCGCAGAAAGAAGCACCGGGUUAAUUCCGGUCCCAGCAGCCGCGGGUAAUACGGAAGGGUCCAAGCGUUAAUCGGAAUUACUGGGCGUAAAGCGCACGCAGGCGGUCUGUCAAGUCGGAUGUGAAAUCCCCGGGCUCAACCUGGGAACUGCAUCCGAAACUGGCAGGCUUGAGUCUCGUAGAGGGGGGUAGAAUUCCAGGUGUAGCGGUGAAAUGCGUAGAGAUCUGGAGGAAUACCGGUGGCGAAGGCGGCCCCCUGGACGAAGACUGACGCUCAGGUGCGAAAGCGUGGGGAGCAAACAGGAUUAGAUACCCUGGUAGUCCACGCCGUAAACGAUGUCGACUUGGAGGUUGUGCCCUUGAGGCGUGGCUUCCGGAGCUAACGCGUUAAGUCGACCGCCUGGGGAGUACGGCCGCAAGGUUAAAACUCAAAUGAAUUGACGGGGGCCCGCACAAGCGGUGGAGCAUGUGGUUUAAUUCGAUGCAACGCGAAGAACCUUACCUGGUCUUGACAUCCACAGAACUUUCCAGAGAUGGAUUGGUGCCUUCGGGAACUGUGAGACAGGUGCUGCAUGGCUGUCGUCAGCUCGUGUUGUGAAAUGUUGGGUUAAGUCCCGCAACGAGCGCAACCCUUAUCCUUUGUUGCCAGCGGUUAGGCCGGGAACUCAAAGGAGACUGCCAGUGAUAAACUGGAGGAAGGUGGGGAUGACGUCAAGUCAUCAUGGCCCUUACGACCAGGGCUACACACGUGCUACAAUGGCGCAUACAAAGAGAAGCGAUCUCGCGAGAGCCAGCGGACCUCAUAAAGUGCGUCGUAGUCCGGAUUGGAGUCUGCAACUCGACUCCAUGAAGUCGGAAUCGCUAGUAAUCGUGAAUCAGAAUGUCACGGUGAAUACGUUCCCGGGCCUUGUACACACCGCCCGUCACACCAUGGGAGUGGGUUGCAAAAGAAGUAGGUAGCUUAACCUUCGGGAGGGCGCUUACCACUUUGUGAUUCAUGACUGGGGUGAAGUCGUAACAAGGUC